GCCUGGGUGUGUGGACGCGUGUGUUUAAUGGGUGGUCGCGGCAGAACAUGAAAAAUAAAUUAGAAGAAAAUAUUUUUAUUAUUAUUACGAAAGAGAGACAAAAGUCAAAAGUGAAAAAUUACGACCAGAGCAAGAAAGUUAGAUAGAUAUAUUCAUACGCAAAAUAUACAUAUAAGCUAAAUUUGUAUGUAUAUGCACAUUUUAUGGUCAAUGAAUGCCAUUAGAAAUUACGCUGGCAAAAGUAUGUUUUUGAACAAUACAUACGAGCAACUAGCCCGCACCUGUGACAAUUAAGGAGACACGCAAAGGAGACAAGCCCAUGUAAUUUUACGCAUAGCAGCAGACAGAACAAAAAACAAAAAACGAAAAAAUUACAAAUUAGAGAAUACAUGAAAAUAAUGAAAAAAAAAAAUAAAAAUAAAUGCGCACAAAAGCGCAGCAGACAAAAGCACAAACAAUGACGACAAAGUAGCACCGCUGGAAACACGGCGUAACUGCCACACAACGCUCAAAAAGCAGGGCGUGAGCAGGAGAAAGCACACAACGCACACAAAUAUAUGUAAAGCAGAGAAAAUUCAAUGCAGACUCCUGCUGUUACUCACAUUAGCGUUAUCCUGCAACGUUUUGCACUUGGCCUUUUCCUCAACAUCCGUUAUAUUCUCAAUGCGUUCGUUGAUUUUCUAUAAAACGAAAGAAAUAUAUAUUUUCCCACAUUAGUAUUAUUGUUUCAAUUCAAAACAUGUUUUUUACAACAUUUCAUUUUUCUCCACUCACAUUCGUCUGCUCGAUGAUCAACUGUAAGUAUGCGUCCGCUUCCGAUACACGACGACCGAGCAAUUCCAAGUGGUUGGCACGUUUGUUGCCUACCACAUCCUUCUGAUAGCCGCCAAGGUAGAAAGUGCUUUGAUUGUCCCACAGACGAGUGCGAUUCGCAUGCCGUCGUAUGGUGUC